AGCUAUGUCAAAAUAUGGACAAUGAGCUAGCUAUAUGUACUUUUCUGUUUCGCUGCCUUUAGCUAACUAACUACAGAUUUAUUUGCUUCAAAGUGUCUGAAGCUAGCUAGCACGUUACUAACUUGGCUACCUUGAUAGCUAACGUUAGCUACUUGGCCUGACAUGGAUAACCAUAUACUUUGAUUGGCGUAAUUUCUAGGCUAUGUAUGCUCUGCCAGUUUAAGGGUUCAUGGAAUGCCAUGUUGCAUUAUUGAUCAUAUUAACUACAGUACACAUUUCAUUCAGCAUAGCUAGCCGCCUUGUUUACAUUACUACUGGCUACUUUUGUCUGGCACAGGCUGGCCACUGAUUCUUGAAACGCCUUAAGAGUUUAGAAACGGUAUUUUCCUACUAUAAUAACCUAGCUGAGAAUUGAUGUGGAUAAUUAUCAGCAAAUCAUAACCCAAAGAUAUGGUUGCUUUUCUCCAUUCUAAAUGUUUUUUGUGGUCAGUUGAGUAUUUGUUAUUAACAGGAAAUGAGGGAGUUCUUUUAACCUGAGCCGCGGUGAACCGGUUUAUGGCCCGUGAAGUGCAAAAGUGGUGAGGGAGGAGCGCCCUUCACAAAUUAACAGUAAUCUGAGCUGCUCGGUCAAUGCAGCAUUUAGCCUCUUUCAACUUCACCUGUUCUCUCCAUUUCAACUUCACCUGUUGUCUUCUGAUUUUGCCACUAUGUCUGAGGUAAUCUGAUACAAAAUAUCCACAGGGAAGCAUUAUCAAUCAGACCUUCAGUAUGCUGGUCAGUAUAUUGAUUUGUGUUUUUAUUUUCAAUAAUGACACAAUUCGCACAAACACUUGCACAAUAUGGCUGAGCCAAACCGAACCACAGGGUGCAUGUUGUCCCGCACAAUCAGCUGGCAAAUUUUACGCAUCCAGAUUGAGGAAAUGUGCUUCGGAUGAUAAGUUUGGUUACAUUUGGCUAUUGUUUACAUAUUGUGCAAUGCGUCAGGAGAUUGAAAAUACAAGCGGCAGAACCUACCGGUGCUGCAAAAAGUUGGGUAAACAACACUUUCCUGUGUAUACCCUAUCUCCACCUCCUAACUUCAAAAGGACCAACAGCAUGUACAACCGGUAAAAACGACGUAGAGGCUGUGGAUCCCAGGGGAAGGACACCGCUCCACCUGGCUGUGUCGCUGGGCCACCUGGAGUCGGUGAGAGUGCUUCUGAGAAAUGGUGCUGAAGUUACCAAAGAGAAUGCCAAGAAUUGGACAGUGCUGCAGGAGGCAGUCAGCACCGGCGACCCAGAGAUGGUUCAGCUAGUGCUCCAGCGGCGAGACUACCUCAAAGCCUCUACAGCUCUGGGAGGAGUGCCUGAGCUUCUGAGCAAGAUCCGUGAGUCCCAAGAUUUCUACAUGGAAAUGAAAUGGGAGUUCACAAGUUGGAUCCCUCUCGUUUCCCGGGUUUGUCCCAGUGACGUGUGUCGGAUCUGGAAGAGUGGGGCCAGCCUGCGCGUGGACGCCACUCUGCUAGGCUUCGAGAACAUGACCUGGAUCAGAGGUCGUCGGAGCUACAUUUUCAGGGGAGAUGAUGUCUGCACAGAGUUGAUGGAGGUGAACCAUGACGAACAGGUGGUGGACACGGAACGCUUUGACAUCUCCAGGGAGAUAGAAGAUGUAACGCUGGACUCCAUGCAACCUGCAGAACAGGAAGUGGCCAAGCGGCUGACCACGCCCAUUGUCAAUACCUUUCUAGACACCAGGGACAUUGCUUUUGAGAGAAAUAAAUCUGGGAUUUGGGGUUGGAGGAGUGACAAAACGGAAGUUGUUAAUGGUUUCGAGGCGAAGGUUUUCACUGUGAACAAUGUAAACGUGGUGAUCCGGACGAGGACAGAGCAUCUCACCGAUGAGGAGAAGGCUAGAAUAAAAAGUGAGAGGAAUGUUCUGGAGUCUCUUCUGGGUACAGUGGAGCAGCAGAUAAGUGCUCAAGGGGACCUCACUCUGGAGUACGCGACAGCCAACAACCCCACCGCCAUCACACCAGAGGAGUACUUUGACCCUGCGUUUGACCUUGAAGACCGAGACAUUGGCCGGCCCAUUGAACUUACCAUCCGAACCCAGAAGUUCAAGGGUACAUUGUGGAUGAGCGAGGAACACCCCCUCUCCCUGGUGGAGCAGGUCACCCCCAUCAUCGAUCUCAUGGCCCGGACCAGCACCCACUUCGCCCGGCUGCGGGAUUUUGUCACCCUCAAGUUCCCUCCAGGGUUCCCUGUAAAAAUAGAGAUUCCCCUAUUCCAUGUGCUCAACGCCCGCAUUUCAUUUGACAGUGUCAACAAAUGCAGUACAGCCGAACCCUUGGAGACACCCCCCUCCGCUGCCACACCUGAGGAGGAGGAGGAGGAGGUGGAGGAGGUGAGGGAGGAUGGAGGCUGCGGCGAAGCUGCAGUUCCCCCUCUAUUCCAGGUGUGCCCGUCUGUGUUUGAGGUGCCCUCACACUACCGCCACCGAGGAGGGGGUGGCAGCCGCCACACGCCGGUGUCAAAUCAUGACGAGGAGCUACUGCAGUAUGCCAUCCACCAGAGUCUGCUGGAGUCCGGUGGGGGAGCCCCGGGACAGGUCCUAGAUCACACACACACCCCUCCUACUCAUCUGUUUGACUCCCUAUCUGGUCCUCUUGCGCUCACGGCCGCCUUAGUGUUCGACCAGUGGUCGGUCUGUUCAGGAAGCUGCAAUGUUGUAAAACCUCCAGAUAGAAUGGAUUGCGUGGAAACUAUAGUAUUGUCUGACAUAAGGAAUAGGGAACUCUGUCCAUUACAUUUAUGCAAGUUUUAUCUGCGAUGUGCCAGGAUUUUCACCUCGCUAACUCCACCUUUUUGUUUUGUCCUCUAGGAAGUGACCUGGGAGGAUGCCAAUGGUGACCUCACAGACCCCAUAAUCAGUAGCCAGAGUGACGGAAGCAUCCCAGGGGGGGUGCUGGUGGACUUGGGAGACACCACGUCGAGUCAGGCGAGCUCGGGCACCUCUGCCUCCAGCCCCGACACGGACCUCCGCAUGGCCAUGGAGCUGUCGGCCCGGGCCCAGGCCGAGGAGGAGAGGAGGAGGAAGGAGGAAGAGGAGGAGCUGGAGAGGAUAUUGCAGCUCUCGCUCACAGAGAAGUAAAAAAAGGAAAAUAGGAGGGAAAGAAUAAUAAUUAAGGCCACGCCUUGCCAUAACUGCAUUAACUUUUCGUUGAUCAAGAAGCGGCCACCACCACACCCCCAAUCCAGCCCCACCCCACCCUCCUUCACUACAAUCUGCCAUGACACCGGAAAAACAUCCAUGUAACAUAUGUCAAAUAAAACCAUCUGUAUUUAAUACUUUAAUACCUAUUUUUGGUUUAAAAAAAAAAAAACGAACAGAUGUAUUGCUAGAUUUGUAUUUCUAUAUAACACUUAGGCUCUGUCUUAAAAGUAUAGAAGCUGUCAAAUCCUUGAUUCCUCCCGUCCUUUUAAAACAGAGCCAAAGCCACUCCGCUCUCCCGAAGAGGUAUCCAGGUAUUUUUUGAUAUUAUUUGGGGAAGGAUUUCCAUUGGAGUAUAAGGGUUCCAACAAGUGAUUGUGUUUGUUGGGUGUUGUGAAGAUCAGGUUAAACUUGGGACCGGUAGCUGCUUUUAGUUGUGACUCUGGAAGGUUGUUGUUUUUAGAGCCCUGGGUCAAUUUCAUUAGGCACCAAAUGGACGGGAGCAGAAUGAAACCGGGAGGGGCUACCUGCACAUUUUCAGUUUCCUGUUGCAAAAAGUUUUUAAAACAUGUUUUAUUUUUUUAUUAAGAUGACCCUGGAAAUGGCAUUCCAGUCACACAGCCAUUCGAAAGAUUGAAUAUCUCAGGGUUCCAUUGUUCUACAGUCCCUCUGAAACUAGUGAAAGUGCAGUAUGUUAGUUUAUUGUAGACACAUCGAACAUGGUUUUCUGGUCAUCAAAAUGGAUUUUUUUUUCUUUGAAAACUUUACUUUACUCUACUUUGAACAGAAUGUCAUCAAACAAAAUGACUUGCUGGUGCUUCCAACCCUUUUUCUUCUCGUGCUGCAAGAAUUCAUGUUUUGUAUUCGUGUUGUCGUUGACACAAUGUUAAAAUGAAAGUGAACUACAUGAUCAUUCAAACAGGUUUUGACUUGCCCCAGAAACCAGGUUUUAUUCAAUUGGGCUAAGGGCUUGUUAUGCAAGAGGGUUUGAUCUUGUUGGCCAUGGUCACUGGGCACCAUCAAGCAUCAGAACCUCAACAAAGCAUUAGCAGAAGCCGCUGUGCCUACCUGUGGAUGUCAAAGGAGCAUACACACGGUUCAGUGGUGCUCGCAAACAAACAAGGUCGAAAACAUUGAUUAUCGUAGGCAUUGUCUAACACUUUCCUUUCUUAAAUGUCAAAGAAUCUGUCCAUUAGACUUCAAACUCAACAGGGUUCUAAGGACUCCUGUUAGGGCUGUCUUUUAAAAAACAAAUGGAUCUUGAAACUACAGAGACCUGUGAAAUGAGUGACGUGUCAGAUCUGCUCCAUGUAGCAUCAUUUUGUACUGAAGGAAGCGAUCCCCUCUAACGUUCCCAAUCCCAAAUGGAGCUUACCUACAGUGCCUUUGGAAAGUAUUCACACCCCUUGACUUUUUCCACAUUUUUAGUUACAGCCUUAUUCUAAAAUGGAUUCAAUUGUUUUUUUUCUCCCUCAUCAAUCUACACACAAUAACACAAUGACAAAGCAAAAACAGUUAUUUAUAAAUAAAGUAUUCAGACCCUUUACUCAGUACUUUGUUGAAGCACCUUUGGCAGCGAUUACAGCCUCGUGUCUUUUUGGGUAUGACGCUACAAGCUUGGCACACCUGUAUUUGGGAAGUUUCUCCCAUUCUUCUCUGCAGAUCCUCUCAAGAUUUGUCAGGUUGAAUGGGGAGCAUUGUUGCACAGCUAUUUUCAGGUCUCUCCAGAGAUGUUCAAUUGGGCUCUGGCUGGGCCACUCAAGGACAUUGAGACUUGCCCCAAAACCACUCCUGUGUUGUCUUGGCUAUGCUUAGGGUUGUUGUCCUGUUGGAAGGUGAACCUUCGCCCCAGUCUGAAGUCCUGAGCACUCUGGAGCAGGUUUCCAUCAAGGAUUUCUCUGUGCUUUGUUUCGUUCAUCUUUGCCUCGAUCCUGACGAGUCUCCCAGUCCCUGCAGCUGAAAAACAUCCCCACCGCAUGAUGCUGUUACCACCAUGCUUCACCGUAGGUAUGGUUCCACGUUUCCUCCAGACGUGAUGCUUGGCAUUCAGGCCAAAGAGUUCAAUCUUGGUUUCAUCAGAUCAGAGAAUCUUGUUGCUCAUGGUCUGAGAGUCUUUAGGUGCCAUUUAGCAAACAACAAGCAGACUGUCAUGUGCCUUUUAUUGAGGAGUGACUGAUUGGUGGAGUGCUGCAGAGAUGGUUAUCCCAUCUCCACAGAGGAACUCUAGAGCUCUGUCAGAGUGACCACCGGGUUCUUGGUCGCCUCCCUGACCAAGGCCCUUCUCCCCCGAUUGCUCACCUUGGCCGGGUGGCCUGCUCUAGGGAGAGUCUUGGUGGUUCAAUUUAAGAAUGAUGGAGGCCACUGUGUUCUUGGUGACCUUCAAUGCUGCCAACAUUUUUUGGUUCCCUUCCCAGAUCUGUGCCUCGACACAAUACUGUCUCGGAGCUCUGCGGACAAAUUCCUCGACCUCGUGGUUUGGUUUUUGCUCUGACAUGCACUGUCAACUGUGAGAGCUUAUAUAGACAGGUGUGUGCCUUUCCAAAUAAUGUCUAAUCAGUUGAAUUUACCAUGGGUGGACUCCAAUCAAGUUGUAGAAACAUCUCAAGGAUGAUCAAUGGAAACAAGAUGCACCUGAGCUCAAUUUCGAGUCUCAUACCAAAGGGUCUGAAUACUUAUGUAAAUAAGGUAUUUCUAAAACCCUGUUCACUUUGUCAUUAUAGAGUAUUGUGUGUAGAUUGCUGAGGAUUUUUUUUUGUAUUUAUCAAUUUUAUAAUAAGGCUGUAACGUAAUAACAUUUGGAAAAAGUCAAGGAGUCUGAAUACUUUCCAAAGGCACUGUAUGCUCUUGUGCAGACCUGAGAAGAUUUGAUAGGUGUACUCGAUAUGGUAAUAAAUUGAACUUGCCCUCUGAUGGGCUAGGGAUUUUUUUUUUAAAUCGUACUGCCAAUUAUAUCUCCACAAGUGCAUAGUAGGGUCUUGAUUCCGCUUGGGCCACAGACAUGAUUUGGUCGGGAGGAUCAGUGUUCAACUGCUACUCAGGCCAGACCUACUAAAGACAGCAGAGAAUAUUUGAAAUGUCUCAUCUUUAAAGCUGUGAUCAAGGGGCUUAAAAAAAAGUUUCCCGUCCAUUGGUGUUGCUGGACAUAAAAUGAAUUAACCAAUGUAGUUAAUUACACUGAUAACCAACAGCACUUUGGACAUGUUACUGAUGUGUCUUUUCGUCUGUUUUCUGGGGACUAGAGCUCAAAACGGCUAAUGAUCAAGUUGCCAAACAGCAGAACAUUCUCGAAAGUUCCUGAGUUCACUUUGAUUAGAUUUCUGGGGAACAGUCUUCGUACUGCUUAAUUUGCUAGCAGGUACGCUUAUUUUUUCUAACAGAAUUCAAGAAAGCAUUUGUUAACUGUGAUGUUGGUUUCAAAUUGUUUUCUUUCUUAAAUAAAUGCACUUUAUUUCAA